GAUGAGCUGCACGGGGUCGCCAUAUGUACUGCUUUGUCGAGGGCGCCUGGGACCUCAUCUGGCAUAAUUUGUUUUGACAAAAAUAGUGAAGUGCACCUCCAUGGGCACCGAACCACACUACAAUUCCAUCGUCGCCAAACUGCACUGCAUUUUUUGCAAUGUGCUUACCCCAAAAAAGAACUGCACGUCCACGGGUGCCCAACCACACGCCCCCACACACCUAACCGCAUGCCGCUUGGGAUGAGCUGACACAACCGCAGUCACGGUGCACACCACCGCAGCGGCUCCCACAUGGGAGGGCAGUGGGGCAGCGCAGAUUGGUAGAGCUCCGCCGCGGAGCUGACACAGGGCGGCGAGGCAAGGCAGGGCCGUGCCAGAAAGAACUAUCAGGAAGGGAGCUCACUGAGGUUGGGCAUGGGGGAACCAGAUCGGUACUGGUUGGGGGCGGUGGAGACUGGGCAUGAAGAAUCUCGCCGGAUCAUUCACGGGGCCGCGCCGGAGGAGUACCCUCCUACCUCCACUCUAUUUGUGUAGGCGCGGUCGACAUUGUUGGCGAACUGCACACCCCCGUUGGCCGAGCUGCACUUCCCGUGGGCAAGACCGCACGCCUGUGUGCAGAGUCAUAGUCACCGACUUGGACAAUGACGCGAGCAGCAAGGACGAAGGCGGCCUCGCCGGAGAGGAGUGAGGGUAGGCCGUCUGCUCUUCUCAUCGGGGAUCUACUCUUGUCAGAUCUGUGGCAGAGAGGAGUAGCUGCAGUCGGGCUCAUCGGAUCUGCGGCGGAGAGUGAGGUCAGGCUUGGUGGGGAGCUCUCUCCUCCAGGGCCGCCGGGCGUUGAUUGUCAGAAAAGUAGGAGGAAGAAGAAGGAAAGGAGAGGAGGAGGGUGGCUUGCCUCCAGUGCUGCUAUGGACGUUCGGCGUGACAGUGUGAGAAGAGGCAGGACGACUGGAACCCAUGCAGCGAUGGAGAUCUUGAGGGGAAGACGGGGGGAGGUGGAGUCGGAUCUGCCGGAUCCGAUGGCUGCAGGGCAGGGCUUGGCCGCCGGAUGUACUUGGUUGGGUGGGGGCACGACCCUGUUCAGC
rnacentral:rRNA from 1 species